AAUGUUUCAACCAUUCUCACUUGGAGGCUUCAAAUGCUUAGCCACCACCGAUGGGUAAAAGGACGUGGUGACGAUCACAAAACUCUCAGUCUGAUCUUAGUCAGAAGUUGCCAGGAAAUCCAGGGAAACAUCUAAUACACAGUCUGGCUCACCAUGAUGUUGUCUGGUUUGAGGUCUUGGUGGACGAUGUCUUUACUGUGUAGAUAAAGUAAACCUUCACACAUCCCUGUGAUGAUUGUGGCUCUCACUGCUGGAGUCAACUGAAAAUACACAAACAAUAUGGUUUUGUUGAAUUUGUUGAAUAUCCACAAAUGCAAAAAUAGACAGAAAUAAUUCUUAUUUAAUUAUGCUACAGGAAUAGUUCUUACUGGUCUAGGUCACAAGACCCAAACGUAAAUAACACCUUUGCAUCUUAAAACAGCUGGAAUGGGAUAAGGAACAUGGCAACCGACAGAGCAACACAAAUGAAGUUAAUUCUUUCAAGUGUACCACUUCAAUACUGCUUGGGACUGAAUGUAUGUUUUUUUCAAGCAUAUUUUAAGAGUAACAGUAGUAAACUUUGAGUACACUAGUGCACAUCUAUCUUUUUUGUUUGUACUGCAACUACACAUAUUUCUGAUAGUUUACUGUAUAACUAUUUUUAACACAACUAGAAUAUGCUAAAUGAACAAUGUAAAUAUAAGGCCAAAUAUACAGUAUAUAGUCUAAAUAAGUCAAGAACAACAAGUGUUUUCUGGGAGGUACAUAAAAAUAGACUGAAAGUAUACUUUUUUUUUUUAAAGGAAUACUAAAAGCACACGUGAAAAAAAUUAUUUUUUGUAAGGGUGUAGUGCACACUAAUAAUAAACCGGAGAUUAAUUACAAAACGUUUUUUUGUUGUUGUUGUUGAGACAUUCCAUGGGACUGUGUCAGACACACAAUUACCUGUAUUUUGGAGAUUUGUGUUUUAAAGAUGGUCGUCUCAAGAUCUUCCCCGAAGAUAAAUUCUAAAGGAAUGUUCCACUUCGAGUCUUUUAUCCAAGGGUCACCAAGAAGCUUCACCACAUUAGGAUGCCGAGCAUUACUAGGGUUAAAACAUCUGGUGUUAUACUGAAUUCACUCUAUUCUGUUGAUGAGACCUACAGGAACUCUCUUCAAAGCAGCCCAUGAGUCUCCAAACUUCUCCUUAUAUAUUUUCCCAAAGCAGCCCUUAGCCAGUGUUUGUGUACAGUACGCCAUUCUAUGCUGAAAAAAAAUCC